rnacentral:rRNA from 1 species
CCUACGGGAGGCAGCAGUGGGGAAUUUUGGACAAUGGGCGCAAGCCUGAUCCAGCAAUGCCGCGUGAGUGAAGAAGGCCUUCGGGUUGUAAAGCUCUUUUGUCAGGGAAGAAACGGUGGAGGUUAAUACCUUCUGCUAAUGACGGUACCUGAAGAAUAAGCACCGGCUAACUACGUGCCAGCAGCCGCGGUAAUACGUAGGGUGCAAGCGUUAAUCGGAAUUACUGGGCGUAAAGCGUGCGCAGGCGGUUGUGCAAGACAGAUGUGAAAUCCCCGGGCUCAACCUGGGAAUUGCAUUUGUGACUGUACGGCUAGAGUGUGUCAGAGGGGGGUAGAAUUCCACGUGUAGCAGUGAAAUGCGUAGAGAUGUGGAGGAAUACCGAUGGCGAAGGCAGCCCCCUGGGAUAACACUGACGCUCAUGCACGAAAGCGUGGGGAGCAAACAGGAUUAGAUACCCUGGUAGUCCACGCCCUAAACGAUGUCUACUAGUUGUCGGGUCUUAAUUGACUUGGUAACGCAGCUACGCGUGAGUAGACCGCCGUGGGAGGUACGGUCGCGAAGAAGUUAAACUAACGAAAGAAGUAGUAGACGNGAGAGAGACGACGACGGACGACGACGGAGGGAGGAG